GUCUGAUCCGGCUCAGAUUGAACGCUACAGUGGGAUGCUUCUUGCACAUGCAAGUCGAACGGCAGCACGGACUUCGGUCUGGUGGCGAGAUAUGAACGGGUGAGUAAUGUAUCGGAACGUGCCUAGUAGCGGGGGAUAACUACGCGAAAGUAAAUAAUGAUACCGCAGCCUCGGGGAAAAGCGGGGGACCCUCGGCCUUCGCACUAUUAGAGCGCCGAUAUCGGACAGAAUAGUUGGUGUAAACGGCUCACCACAAGACGAUCCGUAGCUGGUUUGAGAGGACGACCAGCCACACUGGGACUGAGACACGGCCCAGACUCCUACGGGAGGCAGCAGUGGGAAUUUUGGACACUGGGGGAAACUUAUCCAGCCAUCCCGCGUGUGCGAUGAAGGCCGUGGGUUGUAAAGCACUUUUGGCAGGAAGAAACGGCACGGGAUAAUACCCUGUGCAACUGACGGUACCUGUGAGAAUAAGCACCGGCUAACUACGUGUCAGCAGCCGUGUGGUAAUACGUAGGUGCUGUUAAUCGGAAUUACUUGGGCGAAGCGUGCGCAGUGUCUGAGAAAGAUGAAACCAGAGCUUAAUUGGAACUACUUAACUUUACUGAGCUGAGUGCUAAGAGGGAGUGUGGAAUUCCGCGUAGCAGGAAAUGCGUAGAUAUGGAGGAACACCGAUGGCAAAGGCAGCCCGGGAUAACACUGACGCUCAUGCACGAAAGCGUGGAGCAAACAGGAUUAGAUACUCCAGAAGUCCACGCCCCAAACGAUGUCAACUAGCUGUUAGCCUUCGGGCCUGGUAGCGCAGCUAACGCGUGAAGCUGACCGCCUGGGUACGGUCGCAGACAAACUCAAAGCAACUGACGGGACCCGCAACAAGCGGUGAUGAGGAUUAAUUCGAUGCAACGCGAAAACCUUACCUACUCCUUUUGAUGGCAGCCCGGGAAUCCGAAGGUAUUUUGGGAGUGCUCGCAAGAGAACCGGAACACAGGUGCGCUACGAAGGCACGUCAGCUCGUGUCGAGAUGUUGCUGUCCAACGAGCAACCCUGGUCAUUAUUGCUACGCAGCGCACUUAAUGAGACUGCCGGUGACAAACCGGAGAAAGGUGGAUGCGACGUCAAGUCCUCAUGGCCUUUAUGGGUAGGGCUUCGCACGUCAUACAAUGGUCGGGACAGAGGCCGCUAACCGGCGAGGGGGAGCCAAUCCCAGAAACCUGAUCAGUCCGGACCAGUCUGCAACCCUGAUCGCGGAAGCUGAAAUCGCCAGUAAUCAGGAUCAGCAUGUCAGUGUGAAUACGUUCCGGGUCUGUAAUACUCACCAGCCGCGUCAGCGGGAGCGGGUUUCAACGCAGAAGUAGUUAGCUUCAAUCCGUAAGGAGGGCGAUUACCACGGUAGGAUUCAUGACUGGGUGCAGUCGCAAUUAUGUGAA
rnacentral:rRNA from 1 species